rnacentral:piRNA from 1 species
UGGUCACGCAAAGGAUCUGUCAGCUGAU